rnacentral:misc_RNA from 1 species
AAGUCGUAACAAGGUUUCCGUAGGUGAACCUGCGGAAGGAUCAUUAGUGAAUAAACAAGUGCAGGUUGUGCUGGCCUUCUUGGGUAUGUGUACGCCUGCCAGCUUCAUUCCAUCUUCCCACCUGUGCACUCUGUGUAGAUUCUGUAUGCUAUUGUCAAGCCUUUAUUGUGCUUGGUUGAGAGGAGUUGCUUGUUUCACAAACAAGCUCUUCUUGGGCAUGCAGGUCUAUGUUUAUAUCAACACCAUAUGAAUGUUUUAGAAUGUGCUUUAGGCUUUUUGGCCUUUAAAUUAUAUACAACUUUCAACAACGGAUCUCUUGGCUCUC